rnacentral:rRNA from 1 species
UACGUAGGGUGCGAGCGUUAAUCGGAAUUACUGGGCGUAAAGCGUGCGCAGGCGGUUUUGUAAGUCAGAUGUGAAAUCCCCGGGCUCAACCUGGGAACUGCAUUUGAAACUACGGAGCUAGAGUGUGUCAGAGGGGGGUGGAAUUCCACGUGUAGCAGUGAAAUGCGUAGAGAUGUGGAGGAACACCAAUGGCGAAGGCAGCCCCCUGGGAUGACACUGACGCUCAUGCACGAAAGCGUGGGGAGCAAACAGG